UGUGCACCCAAGUUGUUAAGCUGAAAGGAC
rnacentral:piRNA from 1 species